AACUACCAUGGUGUUCUUUAGACUUUUAAAAACCUACCUUGGACUGUUGCACUUGUUCUGACUCCACCACGGAUUCUGUCCUUGGCACUCCAUAAAAACAGAGGAAUGUGGAGUGGAUUUGUUCAAAUUCCAGCUGACACUGAUAAAGAAGGCUGAGCGCCGAAAAAUUGAUCCUUUUGACCCGCGGUGCUGGAAAAGAUGGAGAAGCCUGGCGUGCUGCAGUCCAUGCGGCCGCAAAGAGUCGGACACGGCUGAGCAACUGAACAACAGCUGAUACUUAGAACCUCCUCUCUGCCAAGGUUAUGCCUUCAAGGAUAAAAGAGUUGGAUCAAUGAACUUUUAAGUCCAUCUUGGUAUUACCUCCUCCAUGAAGUCUUCCCUAUCACAUCUUAUCCUUUUCUUUGUUCUUUGAUGUUCUGUAUCUUUUCAUCUGGACUGCUCUUCCAGAAAGCAGAUGAUCGAUUUUUAUGUGUUACGGUCUGGGCACAGAGGAUGGGGGCAACGCUUGGCACCGUGUUCAGCACCAUCGCAGAGUGGGAAAACAUGAUCUUCGCUGUCAACAGGUGGGGCUGGAAGCUUGUCUCUGCCAUGCAAUGCUUGUGUUACCUCAGGGGAUCUUCCCAACCCAGGGAUCGAACUGGCUUCUGCUUCAUUGGCUGGAGGGUUCUUUACCACUAGCGCCAAGUGGGAAGCCCCUGCUAUCUGUUAGAUAUUAAAU
ensembl:lncRNA